UAGGGAAUUUUGCGCAAUGGACGAAAGUCUGACGCAGCAACGCCGCGUGAGUGAUGAAGGUCUUCGGAUUGUAAAGCUCUGUUGCGUGGGAAGAAAAGCUUUGGGAAUAAUACCCCGAAGUCUGACGGUACCACUUGAGGAAGCUCCGGCUAACUACGUGCCAGCAGCCGCGGUAAUACGUAGGGAGCAAGCGUUGUUCGGAAUCACUGGGCGUAAAGGGAGCGUAGGCGGAAAAAUAAGUUAGGAGUUUAAUGUACGGGCUCAACCCGUAAUCUGCUUCUAAUACUGUUUGUCUUGAGUAUGGGAGAGGGAGAUGGAAUUCCAGGUGUAGCGGUGGAAUGCGUAGAUAUCUGGAAGAACACCAGCUGCGAAGGCGGUCUCCUGGCCCAAUACUGACGCUGAGGCUCGAAAGCUAGGGGAGCAAACAGG
rnacentral:rRNA from 1 species